rnacentral:tRNA from 18 species
GCCAGAGUGGUGGAAUUGGUAGACACGACGGAUUCAAAAUCCGUUGCCUUCGCGGGCGUGCCGGUUCAAGUCCGGCCUCUGGUACCA